UCAAAAUAAACGACAUGCAUAGCAAUUCGACUUUAACAGAAAACGUUACGAGAGAUGAAGAAAAAUUAAAGUUUUUAAUUGAGGGGAAAGUAGUAGAUAAAAAAGACGUAGUUGAUUUUAUAAAACCAUUAAAAGAUGAUAUUAAGGCAUUAGAUUUUUUAUUAUUUGAUAUGUUAAAAGAUAAUUUACCAUCCAAUGUGUUUGAAAUAUUAUGUCAUAUACAUGAAUUAUCAGAGACAUAUAGUAUAAAUCAUAACGAGGAAAAUUUUAAAAAAUUAAAAGAAUAUGUUUAUAAUUUAGAAGAUAGUCAUUUAGGUACUAUUGUAAAUACAUUUGGACAAAUGUGUGUUUUAUCUAAUUUUGCUGAGUGGGCACAUAGAGGUAGAAGGAGGAAAGCAUUUGAGAAAUCUUUAGCACCUGAUGAUACAAUUUAUGGUUCUAUAUAUGAAACAUUAAAAGGUACUUUUCAGAUUUUAAUUAAUAAUGGUUUAAAUUUAAAUAAUAUAUAUGAACAAUUAUGUAAACAAACUAUCGAAUUUGUUUUAACAACGCAUCCUACUCAAGCUAUAAGAACAACUUUGUUAAAAAAUUAUAUAUAUUUAGCUGAAUUAUUACUAAAGUUAGAUAAUAUCGAUUUAGAAUUAUAUAAAAAAAAAAUUUUAUAUGAUAAUUUAAAAGCAUCUUUGUUAAUAUCUUGGAAAACAGAUGGUAUUAGAAGAAUAAAACCAACACCAAUAGAUGAAGCAAUUUCUUUAAUAGAUAUAGUAGAAACUUGUAUAUUUUAUAGAAUCCCAAGAAUUAUUAGAUAUAUCGAUAAUGUUUUAUUAGAGUUUAAUUUACCUCCUAUAAAAUUAGAAUCGAAUUUAUGUUUAUUUUCUUCAUGGGCAGGUGGUGAUCGUGAUGGCAAUCCAUAUGUUUUACCUGAAACAACUAGGUAUGUUUGUUAUAUGAAUAAAAUAAGAGGUUGUAAGUUAUUAAUUCCGAUGAUAAAAAAAUUGAUUAGAGAAUUAGCAUUACAUCAGAGUACACCUUAUUUUAGAAAAUAUGUAAUUGAAUUAGAAAAUAAUGUAUCUGAUUAUAUUUUUGAUAAAAAUAAAAAAUUUGUAGGUAAAAAGUUUCAAUGGUUUAGUCCUUUUUCUAAAUCGAAUGAAAAAGAAAUAUAUAGGAGAGCUUUAUUAGUAGCUUGGAUCAAAUUGAAAAGUAUAAUAAAAGUAUAUAAAUCAUUAAUAUCUAAACAGAGUGUUGAUGAAGAUUUUGAAAAAAUUAUGUUUAAAGAUUCGAUUGAAUUAGAAGAGAUACUAAACGAAUGUUAUAAAAGUUUAAUUGAGUCAGGUAAUGAAUUAAUAGCAGAAGGAUAUUUAAAGGAUGUAAUUAGAAAUGUUAAAAUAUUUGGUUUACAUUUAUUAAAAUUAGAUAUAAGACAAGAAGCAGAAAAACAUACUAUAGCUAUAGAUUAUGUAUGUAAAAAGUUAAAUAUGAAAAAAAUAUAUUCUCAAUUUGAUGAAAAAGAAAGAAUACAAUUUUUAACAGAUAUAUUACAAUCAAAUAGACCAUUAAUACCUAAUAAUAUAGAACAAGAAGAAGAUGUAUGUAGUACAUUUUUAAAUAUUUCUGAAACAUUUGAUGUAUGCUCACAGAUAGAUGAAAAUUCAUUAGGUGCAUAUAUUAUAUCUAUGUGUAAUAAUGCAUCUGAUAUUUUAUUGGUAGAAUUAUUUCAAAAAGAAUUUAAAAAACAUACACAAAGAAAAACACAAAGAGUAGUACCAUUAUUAGAAACAAUACAAUCUUUACAAAAUUCAUUUAUUAUGUUAGAAAGUUUGUUAAAAAAUAAAUGGUAUCGUAAACAUUUAGCUACUUAUUUUGAUAAUAAACAAGAAAUUAUGAUUGGGUAUUCAGAUUCUGGUAAAGAUGGUGGUAGAUUAACAUCUGCUUGGGAAUUAUUUCAAGCACAAGAAAGAUUAGUAGAAGUUGGUAAAAAAUAUUUUGUAGAAAUUUGUUUUUUUCAUGGUAGAGGUGGUAGUGUAAGUAGAGGUGGAGGACCACAACAUUUAGCUAUUUUAUCACAACCAAUUGAUACUAUAAAAAAUUAUUUAAGAGUAACUAUUCAAGGAGAAGUUAUAGCACAAGAUUUUGGAUUAAAAGGUAUGAUGUUAAGAUCGAUUGAAACAUAUAUAAGUGCUGUUUUAAAAUGCUCUUUAUUAAAAAAUACAGUUUUUAUAAAAAAUGAAUGGAGAUGUAUUAUGAAUGAAAUAAGUAAUUUAUCUACUUUAGAAUAUAAAAAGGUAGUUAAAGAAAAUAAAGAUUUUGUUAAAUAUUUUAGAUUUGCAACACCAGAAGUUGAAUUAGGAAAAUUAAAUUUAGGUUCUAGACCAAGUAAAAGAAAAACUGGUAGUGUUGAAGCUUUAAGAGCAAUACCAUGGGUAUUCUCAUGGACUCAAAACCGUAUGAAUUUAUCUGUUUGGUUAGGUAUUGAACAAGUAUAUGAUUAUGUUAUAAAAAAUAAAGAAAAAUUAAAAAUUAUACAAGAUAUGUAUAAACAUUGGCCUUUUUUUAAAAGUUUUUUUAAUUUAAUUAGUAUGGUUAUGGCUAAAGCAAGUGUAAAUAUUGCUGAAGAAUACGAUAUUCUUGUACCAGACGAAUUAAAAUAUAUAGGUAUUAUGUUAAGAGAAAAACUAAUAAAAGCAAUGAAUUUAACUUUUCUUGUUACUAAUGAACAAAAUUUUUGUGAUAAUGACCAAAUUACAAAAAGAUCUAUUGAAAGUAGAACCAAAUGGGUUGAUGUUUGUAAUUUAAUACAAAUACAAGCACUUAAAAGGUUAAGAGAGAAACAAACUUUAAGUUCUGAUAUAAAUGAUUCCACGCCUAAUGAAACAAAAGACAAUACAAACCAUAUUGUUAAUUCAUUUAGUGAGAAGAGACAGGAAACAAAGUAUGAUAAUAUAAAUAUUGUAGGAGUAACAAAAUCGAGUGCAACAUCGGAAGUGACAGAAAAUCAACACAUUAUUGUUACUGAUACUGCUGGUAAUACUGUUGAUAAUACUGUUGAUAAUACUGUUGAUAAUACUGUUGNNNNNNNNNNUGAUAAUACUGUUGAUAAUACUGUUGAUAAUACUGUUGAUAAUACUGCUGUUGAUACUGAUAAUACAACAAACAUAAAUUAUAUUAACAAAUCUGUAACAAAUUUAAACGAAGAUAUUAACCGGAGUAACACAUCACGUAAAUAUUCUUAUCUAGAUAAAAAAAAAAGUAAAUUAAUAAAAAAUACGAAAUACAACUUUUUAUUACAUCCAUUUAGUACUACAUAUAUACAUAGUGAAACGGAUAAUGAUUUAUACUAUGAUGAAUAUAACUACAUAGAAUCUAGGGAUUAUCGAAGUUUUCUAAAGUC
ensembl:lncRNA